ensembl:lncRNA
CAAGAAAGAAAUGAGACAGAGAAGCACGAUGGAUGAAUUCAUAUGGAUUAAAAUGUUUUUAUGUCUGAUGCUGAUGAUUCAGAUUGCAGUAUCUGCAACUGAAACCUCAAUUUUUAUUAAAGCUGGAGAUGACGUCACUCUGCCUUGUCUAAAUGUAAUAGAUGACCAGAAGAACUGUGAUGGUACUACGUGGACCUUUGCUUCAAAAAACACAACAGCAAUAGAAGUGAUCACCUUUGGAGAGAUUGCAGUACAAACUGGGAGAACGUAAACAUCUAGUUUCUGAGUUUUUGGUUGAUCUGGCUGUCAUCACAUUGACUGAAGAUAAGGACACUGAUGAAGUGACGUUAAACUGCUCUCUGCUGACCUUUGAGGACUGUCGCCACACAGUGAAAUGGCUGUUAAUUGGUUACAAUGUAGACAAGCAAACAGAAAGAUCACAGACUGACUGCUUCACCACUGUGUCUUUUCCAAAUUCUCACAAUUCAAACGUAUCAAGGGAUAAUAUAAUGAAGUGUCAAGGAACUCAUACUAACACAAGCAAAGUACUCUUUACCAUCAUCCAUCAGCCCUCUGGUGAGGAAGCUGGUGAGAUUACCAGCAGCUGUUGAACAUGAAUGGCUGGAUACGAAGUUUGGAUGCAGAUUUCUUUUUCUUUUUUUCACAACAAAUGAAAAAACAAAAAUGUUUUGACUGUGAUUUCUCAUUUAUUUAGUUGGGACAAACAAAACAAUGAAUCCAGCCAGAAAAACUGAAAGCAGCACAACCUCAGUAACAACCACAGCCGUGAAGGAUAUUUCACAAGAUUUUUCCGUCUCUUUGAGGUUCAUUAUUGUUUCGGUGGGUUUAGCAGCACUUUUAAUAACUGCUGUGACAGUCAACAUUAGGACAAGAACCAAAGGGAAUAAAACACGACGGAUAAAGCAAGGGGAACAAAACAGAGGACGAGGAUAAAAUCAAAGUAAGUACAAAACUCAGUAUUUCAAUGUAUAAGCGCUAAAAAAAAAACCCUAAAGGUUGACAGUGGACACAUUUGAAGCUGAUUGGCAGGUGGUACAGCAAAAGAACUUGAAAUAGAAAGCUGAACUACAAAAAGGGGAAAGCAGGAAAGUCAAAAUCACUGACACAAUACAAAGAGCAACAAAAGCAUCAAGUAUAUUAGAUAGAUAUUACUGAUAUUACUGUAGUUGUUAUAAGUUAUGCAGAGCCAAUAUAAAUAUAAAAACAAAAGCUCAAUGAGAAAAGUACUUUUAGUGUGGAAUGAAGUCUCUGUAGUUUCAUCAUAGAAAGAGAGUCGAGCUGAUUCGUCUCAGACUGACUGGAGAAAACAGCAAAAAAAAAAAAAAAUCAGACUUAAGUGUUGCAUUAGACUGUUCUCUGGUUAUAUACCACAUCACAGCUGGCGAUGCUGGUCGAUACACAUGCAGACACCACACAUCACUGUUGGGCCCAUAAGCAUUUAUAGACUUUACUGUUUAUCGGUCAGUCGUCAGAAGUGAAUAUUUGUGUCAUUCAAAUCAAAAUGUCCUGUUAGAACAACAAACUAAGAUGUUACAAUAAUUAUGAUCACAGAGAUGAAGUCCAUUGUCUUCAUUUUUGUUUUUCUCUCUCAAAAUGUCUCCAUCUGUAUGACUGAAGUGACUGAAUGUGAGAACAAUGGACAAGAUGGUAAUCCUGUCCUGCUGUGUGCUGGACUAUGACCCUUGUGAACGCGCAGUCGAGUCGGUGUAUGAUGGUGAAGAGAAAUCUCAGACAUGGAGAUGGCUUCACAAUCCUGCACUGACACUGUGACAUUCACAGCAUCUCACCUUGAUCAGAAGUUAAAGUUUUAUGAUUUUUUAAAAUGUAAUGUGAUGAAACAGAACAGUAACAAACUGCAGCCGUUUCCUUUCAGCCCCUAGUUGCCAGGUGGGGCAACAGGUUUACCAAUGCUGCUGAAGAUCAUCUCAACACAGACUCACAACAUCAUCUCCUUCUGCCUUUCCUCUUUCUCUCGCUCCGCUGUUUGUGUGUGGGACAGUAUGAGAGAUUCCUCUUCUGCUCCCCUGCUCCAUUUGGCUGGCACAUAUGUCUCAAAUCCCUAAUCAGAGCCUUUAAACAUUUGAUCAUAAAUUCAGUCCUCUCCAGAUUGUUCUGUUAGGUUUGUCUUUAGCAUCACUCAGUCUCAUCAAAAAAAAAAAAAAAACAAUUGUACUUUUCUUUGUGUUUCACUUGAUUUCUCCAGUCACUAAUUUUAAAUGUCCCGGGCCGUCUCCUCCAGACCAAAUACUUAGUCUUGGUAUCCCUGCCUGCUCUCUUUCUCCAUCACUCACCAAACCCAGAUGCAAGACCCAAUCCCCUCUCGCUUGCACAUUCUCCCUCAUUCCAGUGUUAAAGCCUGCUUCAGAGUCCACCUCUUUUACCAUAAUAAUUUUCAAUAUACAAUAUUUAAAAAAUGAAAUGUAGAUGUUAUUUUUUAAGCCAUUUUCUGAAAUGAAUGUGAAACCUUCCUGUAUUUAAAUUGGAAUAACACAACAGCAACCAUAGUUCAUAGUUGUAACAUCUACCUGUCAAAGUUUGAAUCCCUGACAGCUGUGAAAUCAUCACUCUGUGUUGUGUGGUUUGUAACAAUGUAUUUUGUUAUGGCUAAUGAUAAUAUAACUUGAUUUAUAAAAGGUUUUUGAUUGUGUUUUUUACACUUGUGUAUAUUGUGUGAAACUAGGGUCAGUGGGGGUCUGAAAACAGUACGCUGGUGUUUUAGAUUCACU